UAGAAACAGAAUAGGCAAACGAAACAGAGAAGGAAAGAAGGAAAGGAAAGAAAAAGAAAAAAAAGGGAAGGAAAGGAAGAAAAUUUGGGAUUUCAAGAUUCCAAGCUCAAUUGCUAAUGUCGUGCAAGAGUCAUUGUCCGAGAAAGGAAAGGAGAAGGUGAACAAUGAGUGACUUGAGAAAAUUUACGGUUAGUAAAAAGCUAGUGUCCGGUCUAGCAUCCAGAGCAAUCCCGACCUCAGAGAAAUUUUAGUGAUGUACCUUUGUUUGAUAAUGUGGCAUGUACCUAGGUGAUGUAUAGGUUAAGAAUAAAAAUUUUGUUAUUAUUGUUGCAGAAUGAUGUUUAAAUUGGUUAUAAGUAUGAAAUGGAACUAAUAUGACAUAUUUGAUACAAGUAUGUUAUAUCUGUUAUUUAUUUGUGAAUUAGUGAUAAGUUAUUCGAUAUGUCCGGUAAUGCUCCGUAACCCGGUUUCGGCGACGGAUACGGGUUGGGGGUGUUACAGACAGAGUAUUACGGUAAUUUAGAUUCUGACAAUCGAUUCCCGUGGCACCUGAGGUGUUGGAUGAUCAUCACAAAAUUGACCUACGGUAAUUGCAUACGGAUUGUAAACGCAAUUGGAAGAAUUCUCCCACUGCAAUCCUGUGCCACUGCUAGCAAUAGCCGAUGGGUAUAUCUACCAAACAUAAAGGUACCGUCAAUUUGUACCAAUGGCUUGCAAUUCGAAAAUGCGUCUCGGCAUUGCUUAAAGGUCCAAAACAGGCGUUUGAACACUUGGCAUCCACGUAGCAAUCGGCCGUUCUAGUACGCAUGUUCCGUUUCGAGGUCUGUUAUGCAACCUGUGACGUAUCUCUCUAGCACUUGACACCACUGCCAUAUUUCAUUAUAUGAAGCGUCCCACCCACUAUGUAUCUUCUCCAACGCCUUCUGCUUAGCUAUCCAAGCCUUACGGUAAGAGGGCGUCUACCCCAUUUGGCUACGAAUAUUGGCAAUUAAGACCGACAUUGAAGUCCUAGGAUCUGCCUUCACCGUGGGUAGUAUCAAGCUAGCUAACAUAGCUGAAUCUAUCUUGGGAUGAUCUUGUGAAAUACCUAUCAACGGAGUACAUUAAAUAAUGCAACAUUACAUAAUAACAGUAUUAUUUAGAAACCCUAAAUACUGUACCUAUAGCACAUGUAUGUGGACCUUUGUACUUUUUUAUCUCCUACAA